UACCAGACUCCUACGGGAGGCAGCAGUGGGGAAUAUUGCACAAUGGGGGAAACCCUGAUGCAGCGACGCCGCGUGAGCGAUGAAGUAUUUCGGUAUGUAAAGCUCUAUCAGCAGGGAAGAAAAUGACGGUACCUGACUAAGAAGCCCCGGCUAACUACGUGCCAGCAGCCGCGGUAAUACGUAGGGGGCGAGCGUUAUCCGGAUUCACUGGGCGUAAAGGGGGCGCAGACGGCAGCGCAAGCCAGGAGUGAAAGCCCGGGGCCCAACCCCGGGACUGCUCUUGGAACUGCGCGGCUGGAGUGCAGGAGGGGCAGGCGGAAUUCCUGGUGUAGCGGUGAAAUGCGUAGAUAUCAGGAGGAACACCGGUGGCGAAGGCGGCCUGCUGGACUGCGACUGACGUUGAGGCCCGAAAGCGUGGGGAGCAAACAGGAUUAGAUACCCCCGUAAA
rnacentral:rRNA from 1 species